rnacentral:rRNA from 1 species
UUCUUUUUGUGUUUGGAUUUGAAGUAGGAUCUGCCCACUGACUUUAUGUUGAAGGGCCGCGGUAUUUUGACCGUGCAAAGGUAGCAUAAUCAUUAGUUUUUUAAUUGAGGACUGGUAUGAAUGAUUGUACGAGAGGUAAUCUGUUUCUGUUUAUAUAGAUUGAAUUUAAAUUUUAAGUUAAAAUGCUUAAAUUUUUUAGUGGGACGAGAAGACCCUAUAGAGUUUUAUUAUUAAUUUGUUAUAUAGUUUGAUUAUUUAUUAAUUUUUUAUUAAUUUAAUUGGGGUGAUUGGAAGAUAUUUAAAACUCUUUUAUUUGAUUUUUAUUUAUUUAUUUAUUUGUGAUCCAUUUUUAUUGAUUAUUAGAAAAAAUUACC